rnacentral:tRNA from 2 species
AAAGAAAUUAAAAAUAAAGCUUCUA